GAUGAAGAACGUAGCGAAAUGCGAUAAGUAAUGCGAAUUGCAGAUUUCAGUGAGUCAUCGAAUCUUUGAACGCACAUUGCGCCCGCUAGUAUUCUGGCGGGCAUGCCUGUCCGAGCGUCAUUUCAACCCUCAAGCCCCCGGGCUUGGUGUUGGGGAUCGGCGAGCCUCCGCGCCCGCCGUCCCCUAAAUCUAGUGGCGGUCUCGCUGUAGCUUCCUCUGCGUAGUAGCACACCUCGCACUGGGAAACAGCGCGGCCACGCCGUUAAACCCCCAACUUCUGAACGUUUGACCUCGGAUCAGGUAGGAAUACCCGCUGAACUUAAGCAUAUCAAUAAGCGGAGGA
rnacentral:misc_RNA from 1 species